GCGCAUGUGACGGAAUUGGUAUACGUGCUAGGUUGAGGGCCUAGUGGGGUUUAACUCCAUGGAAGUUCGAGUCUUCUCAUGCGCA
rnacentral:tRNA from 1 species